CCUACGGGUGGCAGCAGUGGGGAAUAUUGCACAAUGGGCGAAAGCCUGAUGCAGCAACGCCGCGUGAAGGAAGAAGGGUUUCGGCUCGUAAACUUCUAUCAACAGGGACGAAAGAAAUGACGGUACCUGAUUAAGAAGCCCCGGCUAACUACGUGCCAGCAGCCGCGGCAAUACGUGGGGGGCAAGCGUUAUCCGGAAUUACUGGGUGUAAGGGGUGAGUAGGCGGGAUGGUGAGCUAGAUGGGAAAGUCUGGGGGUUAACCCGAGGAUUGCAUUUGAAACUUCCAAGCUAGAGAACAGGAGAGGAAUGCGGAAUGCGUAGUGUAGCGGUGAAAUGCGUAGAUAUUAGGCAGAACACCGGUGGCGAAGGCGGCAUUCUGGA
rnacentral:rRNA from 1 species